UUUAUUGUCUGGCCAGGAGAAUCCGCCAACGGAAAGAACUGGGGGGGAGUCAGCCGGGGGGCAGCAGAGAGGACCCCAGCGCCCCACAGAGAGACUCGCUCUAUGAGGAAAUCCCAUGUGCCGGGGAGAUUCCCUGCCCCUCGUAUGACGACGGCGACUAUUAUAACAGCCCCAAGGACUAUUGUAACUGAGCACGGCUGAGAUCCCUGCCGUCCUCAGUCCUCUCUGCGCUGCCGCAACCUGGAUCUCGAUAAGAGUCCACCGCUCACGCCCCAGGCAGCGUUCACACUCCUCCAUGAGCUGGGGAAACCCACAAGAACCCAGGAAUCCUGACUCCCAGCCCUCCUCCCACCCCGCAGCAGAGCCCGGGGGCUGGCCCCACUUGGGCCACUGGAACUGGGCAUUUCUGGGGCAGUUUAAUUGUAGCUUCGAUUUUCCAGGCUGUGUUGGCUUUCGGGAGGCAGGUCGGCCUAGCAGAUAGAGAACAGAACUGGGAGGGAGGCGACCUGGAGUCUG